rnacentral:rRNA from 1 species
CCUACGGGGGGCAGCAGUGAGGAAUAUUGGUCAAUGGACGAGAGUCUGAACCAGCCAAGUAGCGUGAAGGAGGAAUGCACAAUGGGUUGUAAACUUCUGUUAUAAGGGAAUAAAAUGUGCCACGUGUGGGAUUUUGUAUGUACCAUAUGAAUAAGGAUCGGCUAACUCCGUGCCAGCAGCCGCGGUAAUACGGAGGAUCCGAGCGUUAUCCGGAUUUAUUGGGUUUAAAGGGAGCGUCGGUGGAUUGUUAAGUCAGUUGUGAAAGUUUGCGGCUAAACCGUCAAAUUGCAGUUGAAACUGGCAGUCUUGAGUACAGUAGAGGUGGGCGGAAUUCGUGGUGUAGCGGUGACAUGCUUAGAUAUCACGAAGAACUCCGAUUGCGAAGGCAGCUCACUGGACUGCAACUGACACUGAGGCUCGAAAGUGUGGGUAUCAAACAGGAUUAGAUACCCGGGUAGUC